CUCUGUCUGUCUUGUGACGGCCCUGAAUUUUUCUGAACCGUCUCAGUGCAGCUCCUUCCAAUAGGGCGCUUUCCCUUUAAUUCCCAAUUAAAUAGCCAGCAUCAGCUGCACGAAAGGGGGGUUGUGAUGGAGACGUGCAUGAGGAUGUGUUCAACCCUCAGUUCCGAAGCUUCUCUAUUCCGUUUGUUUUGUUGCCGUUAAACGUGUGUUUUGUAGCCUAAGAGAGUUUACCCAGGAUCGGAUCCACUCUUCGCGUCCCUGCACUACCUCUCCGUUCUUCGUGGCCUUUCUCCGCUGGAGAUCUAUUGGCGGAUUGGAUUGUCUGACUGACCGACUGACUACCACCUUUUUGUAUACGGUAUUUCAUUUGUUUGGAUGUGAUGUAUACUGUGAUUUGUGUAGUUAGUGGUAGUUGAGGACUUAAUUAAGAGUUGAUCCGCUUUAAGGUUCUGUGGUAAAGUAAUUGUUAUAUUGAUUGUAUGUUUAAUACUGGGUUUACGCUACACGGAAUGAACGGACAAACAUCGCGUGACAAAAGUCACUUGAGUUCACUGAACUCCUUUACCGGGCUAGACUCUUUUUAGGCCCGAGGUACAGGACAUUUCUGGAGGAACCAGAACUCAUUGAUAUUAUUAUAUGUGUGUGUGUAAUCAUUGUUGUUGCUAAUACAACCCACGCAACAGAAUAUAGUUGUUUUUGAAGUUAUUUUCAAUGUUUUAAGGGUUUAUGAAAAGUUUAUUUCCAUCCUGACUUUUACAUACGUCCUUUGUAUUGGUGUAGACUUGACGGACCAGAUGGGACUCAUUCCCACCCAAACUAAAAGGAGAAACCAAUGUUUUCUCUGGUAGGCACAACCUACCUGGCACCCCUAUAAAUAAUAACCUCAAGUCAAAACCGUUACUGUCUGUCUGUCUGUCUGUCUGUCUGUCUGGCUGGCUGGCUGGCUGGCUGGCUGUCUGUCUGUCUCUCUGUCUCUCUGUCUCUGUAAGGUAGCAGGCUUGUAUUUGAGUUGAGCCCACAACGUGCCACUCUAUCCACAAGGGCCUAAUCCCACACUGAUAACGGCACAUCAAUCAGUGGUUGUUUACCGUGGGUGGAUGAUAAUAAUGCCUAAAGGAGGCGGUGAUGUCACAAAACACAUUUGUCACGUUGACAGAGUAAAUAGCACAUUAACUACGUAGGGCAUACACUGUAGGUGCCAUUUGGGACCCAGCCAUCAUGUAGCCACUUUACAGACCUGAUCUUAUUAGUUCUGCUGUUGUCAAAGGGGAAAUUAGGUUUGCUACAGCAUACAGGGGGGUUUUGUGUGUGUGUGUGUGUGUGUGUGUGUGUGUGUGUGUGUGUGUGUGUGUGUGUGUGUGUGUGUGUGUGUGU